UCAGGCCUAACACAUGCAAGUCGAGCGCGCCUUUCGGGGUGAGCGGCGGACGGGUUAGUAACGCGUGGGAAUGUGCCCUUUGGUACGGAAUAGCCUCUGGAAACGGAGAGUAAUACCGUAUGAGCCCUUCGGGGGAAAGAUUUAUCGCCAAAGGAUUAGCCCGCGUUAGAUUAGGUAGUUGGUGGGGUAAUGGCCUACCAAGCCUACGAUCUAUAGCUGGUUUUAGAGGAUGAUCAGCAACACUGGGACUGAGACACGGCCCAGACUCCUACGGGAGGCAGCAGUGGGGAAUCUUGGACUAUGGGGGCAACCCUGAUCCAGCCAUGCCGCGUGAGUGAAGAAGGCCCUAGGGUCGUAAAGCUCUUUCGCCUGUGAAGAUAAUGACGGUAGCAGGUAAAGAAACCCCGGCUAACUCCGUGCCAGCAGCCGCGGUAAUACGGAGGGGGUUAGCGUUGUUCGGAAUUACUGGGCGUAAAGCGCACGUAGGCGGAUCGGAAAGUUGGGGGUGAAAUCCCGGGGCUCAACCCCGGAACUGCCUCCAAAACUAUCGGUCUAGAGUUCGAGAGAGGUGAGUGGAAUUCCGAGUGUAGAGGUGAAAUUCGUAGAUAUUCGGAGGAACACCAGUGGCGAAGGCGGCUCACUGGCUCGAUACUGACGCUGAGGUGCGAAAGUGUGGGGAGCAAACAGGAUUAGAUACCCU
rnacentral:rRNA from 1 species